rnacentral:lncRNA from 1 species
AAGUGGUUGUUCACUCACUCACCUGGAUGUUUGUCUUUAAGAUUUAAGCAGAAUUGUAAUUUUCUUUUAAGUUUUUAUUACAGUAUGUUGAUCAUAUAAAGCAAUGGGUUUCCUGACAGUUUCACCAAAUAUCAUGGACUUGGAUCAGAGUCGCCCCUGUUAACCCUCUUGUUCCUUCACCCACCCCUUCCUCUUCCCUUCCCCUCCCCUAAUAGAUGCCUUCUGUUUCCAUGUCACAUAUGACAAACAGAUUUUAUGUAUGGACUCACAAAUAAAAACAGGCUAAGGAUUUGUGUAAGACAUCUUCUUAAGUUCUCUGUCCUACAACUAGCUCAGUAUACCAGGCUGGUCUCAAACCCACAGAAAUCCAUCUGCCUCUGCCUCCAGAGCACCACCACCCAGAAACAAGUGAAGUCUUAAAGUCAAUGUGAAGACUUUAGGUGGGGCAUUGAGGAAAUUACUGAAUUUAGGUGAGGUCAUAAGAGCAGGGCCUUCAGGAUAGGAAGAGGAAGAGUCAACAGAGCCUAUUCUCUUUACAGAAUACAAGAGAUUAGCCAACUGCCAGUUGGAAGAGAGUCCUUAUUGGACCCAAAUCUUUGGCACCUGAUAUAGGACAUACCAACAUCCCAAGCUGUGAAGUCAGCAUCUGUUGUUUAAAUUAUCGCAUUUGGAGUGUUUUGUUACAGCAGCCCAGGGUGACUGACACAAAUGAAUUCUCACAGCACCACCAUAACUAAACAAGUAUGGAUACACACAGCUUUUUGUUUUCUACAUGAACAGAAAGAUCAGCACCGUGUCUAGAAUCACAUGAUCAGCAAUAGAGCAAAACUUUAAAUCUUUCUAGGGUGAAUUUACUCAUUUAUUUAAUAAAGCAUUAAUUGAUGACCCACUUUAAGACGAAAUUCACACUGGGCCAUGGUGUCACACACCUUUAAUGCCAGCACUCAGCUUUACAAGAUUGUCUCUCACAAUCUUCCUGUCCCCAGUUGUUCAAUGUUCCUUUGGACUUAGGUACAGCAAUUGUGCUGUGAUGUAUCAGUUGAGACUGGGCUUCACACCUCUGUUGUUUUGCUGUAGUGGUCUCUGCUGCAAAGAGAAGUUUCCUUGACACAGGGUAAGAAUUGUACUUUCUCUUUUCAGAGGUUUAGUCCAUUAUCAUCAUGGCAGGAAGCAUGGCAACACAGAGGCGGACAUGGUGUUAGAGAAGAAGCUGAGGUUCUAAAUCUUGAUCUGCAGGAAGAAGACUAUAUGUCACACUGGGCGUAGCUUGAGCAUAGGAGACCUCAAAGCCCAUCCUCACAGUAGCUCACUUCCUCCAACAAGGCCACACCUCCUAAUAGUGCAUAAACACCGGAGUCUAUGGGGGCCAUACCUAUUCAAACAACACAGAUAGUCUAUGGCUCAAGGAGGAGCACUCUCAGCUGAGAUGAGAAAAUUUUACUGAACUGUGUGUGCUAAUUCACA